UACGGAGGGUGCAAGCGUUGUCCGGAUUUAUUGGGUUUAAAGGGUGCGUAGGCGGCCCUGUAAGUCAGUGCUGAAAUACCCCGGCUUAACCGGGGGGGUGGCAUUGAUACUGCAGGGCUUGAGUACAGAUGAGGUAGGCGGAAUUGACGGUGUAGCGGUGAAAUGCGCAGAUAUCAGGAGGAACACCGGUGGUGUAGACGGCUUUCUGGACCGUAACUGACGCUGAGGCACGAAAGCGUGGGUAGCAAACAGG
rnacentral:rRNA from 1 species